GAUAGAGGCGCGGUACUCAUCAGUACCCUCCGGCGAGGUCGUGCAGCCGCCGGAGGCGAAAGGGAUCACCGCCGAAGUGUGGGAGGGCUGCCCGGUCGUCCCCCGCUGGGCCGUCAGAGAAUAUCUGCCGGACUGUCACAAAAUCUUUGUGAAGCGCUAUCA
rnacentral:ncRNA from 1 species